GUAGGGAAUUUUGCGCAAUGGGGGAAACCCUGACGCAGCAACGCCAUGUGUGGGAUGAAGCAUUUCGGUGUGUAAACCACUGUCGGCAGGGAAUAAAGCCCGCAUUUAUGCGGGGGUGAAUGUACCUGCAAAGGAAGCCCCGGCUAACUUCGUGCCAGCAGCCGCGGUAAUACGAGGGGGGCAAGUGUUGUUCGGAAUUACUGGGCGUAAAGGGAGCGUAGGCGGGCUCUUAAGUUGGAUGUUUAAAACCGGGGCCCAACCCCGGCGUGGCAUCCAAAACUGGGAGUCUUGAAUGGGACAGAGGCCAGUGGAAUUAGAGGUGUAGCGGUGGAAUGCGUAGAGAUCUCUAAGAACACCAGUUGCGAAGGCGGCUGGCUGGGUCCACAUUGACGCUGAGGCUCGAAAGCGUGGGGAGCAAACAGGAUUAGAUACCCGGGUAGUCC
rnacentral:rRNA from 1 species